rnacentral:misc_RNA from 1 species
AAAAAAAAAAAAAAAAAAAAAACCCCCCCGCCAUAAAAAUAAAACAGCCUCAAAACUACAUAGGUCAUAAAUCCUUUAGAGUUCAGGAUAAAAUCCAAUAACGGAGGAUUGGCUUAUUAUACUUGGGCAAGCAUGGGCUAAUGACUGUUCCAGGCACAGAAGAACAGCUAACAACGAUGGCUGUGGCCCUCGGUCACUCUUUCUUGACAGUGGCAGACUUGAUUAUGUCAAU